rnacentral:lncRNA from 10 species
GAGACGUCACUAAGAUGUGGCCCUUUAAGCCCGGCGAGAAACCUUUGAUUGCUUUUCUAGCCGCAGCCUCCGGCCCAAAGGUUUUCGGAAGCAAACGGCGUGGGUGACAUCAAUAGUAAGGGAGCGUUGAAUCCCUAGAUGAGAUUGCCUGGUUUCAUCCGAAGUCUGGCUCCCAGCCAGAAGUUUGAGAGGCAGGAUAAGAAUAAUCUGUCCUUUCCCUGCAUCCCCGGUUCUGCCUCUUCCCGCAGUAGGUGACGGGUUGCCCCAGCUGAGUACGUCGAGUUGUUUUUGGCUAUGACUUGCCGUCCUGCAUUUUUCUGAGCAUGUCAGAACAGAGCCUGCAACUCAUUACUGCCUCCACUAGAGAAAAAGUGUAGUGUGGAGACUUAGGGAGAAACCAUUAAUUUCCUGAAUGUUGAAAAGAGGCACAGGAGAGUGGUCAGAUGCAAAAAGAACAGACUUAAGGAGGUGGUUUUUUGUUUUUUGGGGUUUUUUUUGUUUUUUUUCAGCAACCCAGAAAACACUGCACUCAUCAACGCCCUAGAAGGCAGCACAGAGUGGAUUUUCAGUCCCAGCUUGGACACUUAGCAAGUCACUCUGAGUUUACCACUGAUAAGGCCCACUUCCCAGGGUUAUAAUAAGAAAGGAAUGAAGAAAAUAUAUGACAAGGUACAAUAAAAUACUUUGUAAGUUCUCAAGUAUCA